rnacentral:rRNA from 1 species
CCGGUGGAGGAGUGGCGAACGGCUGAGUAACACGUAGGAACCUACCCUUUGGUUCGGGAUAACGGAUCGAAAGAACCGCUAAUACCGGAUAUAUCCUUCGGGAGGAAAGCUCCGGCGCCUUAGGAGGGGCCUGCGGCGUAUUAGCUUGAUGGUGGGGUAAUGGCUCACCAUGGCGAUGAUGCGUAGCUGGUCUGAGAGGAUGAUCAGCCAGACUGGGACUGAGACACGGCCCAG